rnacentral:rRNA from 1 species
AGAGUUUGAUCCUGGCUCAGAUUGAACGCUGGCGGCAUGCCUUACACAUGCAAGUCGAACGGCAGCACGGAGCUUGCUCUGGUGGCGAGUGGCGAACGGGUGAGUAAUAUAUCGGAACGUACCCUAGAGUGGGGGAUAACGUAGCGAAAGUUACGCUAAUACCGCAUACGAUCUAAGGAUGAAAGUGGGGGAUCGCAAGACCUCAUGCUCGUGGAGCGGCCGAUAUCUGAUUAGCUAGUUGGUAGGGUAAAAGCCUACCAAGGCAUCGAUCAGUAGCUGGUCUGAGAGGACGACCAGCCACACUGGAACUGAGACACGGUCCAGACUCCUACGGGAGGCAGCAGUGGGGAAUUUUGGACAAUGGGCGAAAGCCUGAUCCAGCAAUGCCGCGUGAGUGAAGAAGGCCUUCGGGUUGUAAAGCUCUUUUGUCAGGGAAGAAACGGUGAAAGCUAAUAUCUUUUGCUAAUGACGGUACCUGAAGAAUAAGCACCGGCUAACUACGUGCCAGCAGCCGCGGUAAUACGUAGGGUGCAAGCGUUAAUCGGAAUUACUGGGCGUAAAGCGUGCGCAGGCGGUUUUGUAAGUCUGAUGUGAAAUCCCCGGGCUCAAC